GGAUAGCUCAAUUGGUAGAGCAGAGGACUGAAAAUCCUCGUGCCACCAAUUCAAAUUUGAAACUCCA
rnacentral:tRNA from 1 species